rnacentral:rRNA from 1 species
GGCCUCUGAACAUGCUACCGCUAGAAGAUGGGUCUGCGUAUGAUUAGCUAGUUGGUGAGGUAAUGGCUCACCAAGGCGACGAUCAGUAGCCGGUCUGAGAGGAUGAACGGCCACACUGGGACUGAGACACGGCCCAGACUCCUACGGGAGGCAGCAGUGGGGAAUCUUCCGCAAUGGACGAAAGUCUGACGGAGCAACGCCGCGUGAGUGAAGAAGGUUUUCGGAUCGUAAAGCUCUGUCUUUUAGGACGAAUGUAUUCUAUGUAAAUAAUGUAGGAUAAUGACGGUACUGAAGGAGGAAGCCACGGCUAACUACGUGCCAGCAGCCGCGGUAAUACGUAGGUGGCGAGCGUUGUCCGGAAUCAUUGGGCGUAAAGGGCGCGUAGGCGGGAUGAUCAGUCUGUCUUAAAAGUUCGGGGCUCAACCCCGUGAUGGGAUAGAAACUGUCAUUCUUGAGUGCAGGAGAGGAAAGUGGAAUUCCCAGUGUAGCGGUGAAAUGCGUAGAUAUUGGGAGGAACACCAGUGGGGAAGGCGACUUUCUGGACUGUGUCUGACGCUGAGGCGCGAAAGCUAGGGAAGUGAACGGGAUUAGAUACCCCGGUAAUCCUACCCGUAAACGAUGGGUACUAGGUGUAGAGGGUAUCGACCCCUUCUGUGCCGGAGUUAACGCAAUAAGUACCCCGCCUGGGGAGUACGGCCGCAAGGUGAA